UAACGCGUGGGAAUCUGCCCUGGAGUGGGGGAUAACCCGGCGAAAGCCGGGCUAAUACCGCAUACGUCCUGAGGGAGAAAGAUUUAUCGCUCUAGGAGGGGCCCGCGUCGGAUUAGCUAGUUGGUGAGGUAACGGCCCACCAAGGCGACGAUCCGUAGCUGGUCUGAGAGGAUGACCAGCCACACUGGGACUGAGACACGGCCCAGACUCCUACGGGAGGCAGCAGUGGGGAAUAUUGGACAAUGGGCGAAAGCCUGAUCCAGCAAUGCCGCGUGGGUGAUGAAGGCCUUAGGGUUGU
rnacentral:rRNA from 1 species